AGAACAUUGACUGCUCCUCCAGAGGUCC
rnacentral:piRNA from 1 species